CUAAACGUCAAUGUGCUUUGGUGCCAUAUAGAAAUUAUUCUCUUGGUUUCUAGGAGUCCACUGAAUCAGUUCACAUCUGGAAGAAAAUUUUGCCUCAUCAGCUUAGAAAGAAAGCUAUUUAACCAUGAACAACGACAUCUUUCGAUUCUUUUGGGCCAAUAAGCGCCACGUUAUUGUCUCCCUCCUUAUGUUCCUCGUUUCCGGAGCGAUUUAUAUAUGGGAUGUGGACAACGUCAUAGCGGAGGCGAUUGUCCACCGGCUACCACUCCAGUCGGUUGGAAGCUUCUCUUGGAGUAACUGGAGCAUCAUAAUCCUGUUCCUAACCUUACUGGCGGCUAUGAUAUUGGCCGUUUUCAAUCAAAGACGCCACCGCGUCAUAAACUUGAACCGAGUUGGCAGGGUACGCCGUUAAAUGUAAGAGUUACGGUCGUCAUCGCUGCGAUCCGGCCGCCGCCGCUUCUUCAGAUGCUCCUCCACCAGCUCCGAGGUCCGGAUCUUGUUGCCCGUCAACUGCAGCCAUUCGAUGUACUUAAAUGGAAAAAUAAUGAUACUCUAUUUUUCUUUAAAGGUU